AAUUCUCAGGGCGAGGUGAAAGUCCUCACCGGUGGUAAAUUAAGUCCACGAGCAUUUUAUGUUGAUUUGGUGAAAUUCCAAAACCGACGGUUAGAGUCCGGAUGAGAGAGAAUA
rnacentral:ncRNA from 1 species